UACGAGGGGGGCGAGCGUUGUUCGGAAUUAUUGGGCGUAAAGGGCGCGUAGGCGGUCGGAUAAGUCUUGUGUGAAAUCUUCGGGCUCAACUCGAAGUCUGCACAGGAAACUAUCUGGCUUGAGUGUGGGAGAGGUGAGUGGAAUUCCUGGUGUAGCGGUGAAAUGCGUAGAUAUCGGGAGGAACACCAGUGGCGAAGGCGAUCACCUGGGGUUGUUCUGACGCUGAGGUGCGAAAGCGUGGGGAGCAAACAGG
rnacentral:rRNA from 1 species